rnacentral:rRNA from 1 species
AUUGAACGCUGGCGGCAGGCCUAACACAUGCAAGUCGAGCGAGCGGCGGACGGGUGUGUAUUGUCUGUGAAACUGCCUGUUGGAGGGGGAUAACUACUGGAAACGGUAGCUAAUACCGCAUACCAUCAGAUGUGCCCCUAUGGGAUUAGCUAGUAGGUGGGGUAACGGCUCACCUAGGCGACGAUCCCUAGCUGGUCUGAGAGGAUGACCAGCCACCCUGUAACUGAGACACGGUCCAGACUCCUACGGGCGGCAGCAGUGGGGAAUAUUGCACAAUGGGCUCAAGCCUGAUGCAGCCAUGCCGCGUGUGUGAAGAAGGCCUUCGGGUUGUAAAGCACUUUCAGCGGGGAGGCGUUACCCGAAGAAGAAGCACCGGCUAACUCCGUGCCAGCAGCCGCGGUAAUAG